rnacentral:rRNA from 1 species
GUCGGCCUGCGCGGAAGAUGUAACGGGGCUAAACCAUGCACCGAAGCUGCGGCAGCGACACUGUGUGUUGUUGGGUAGGGGAGCGUUCUGUAAGCCUGUGAAGGUGGCCUGUGAGGGUUGCUGGAGGUAUCAGAAGUGCGAAUGCUGACAUAAGUAACGAUAAAGCGGGUGAAAAGCCCGCUCGCCGGAAGACCAAGGGUUCCUGUCCAACGUUAAUCGGGGCAGGGUGAGUCGACCCCUAAGGCGAGGCCGAAAGGCGUAGUCGAUGGGAAACGGGUUAAUAUUCCCGUACUUGGUGUUACUGCGAAGGGGGGACGGAGAAGGCUAUGUUGGCCGGGCGACGGUUGUCCCGGUUUAAGCGUGUAGGUGUGUGUUCCAGGUAAAUCCGGUUCACUUUAACACUGAGGCGUGAUGACGAGGCACUACGGUGCUGAAGCAACAAAUGCCCUGCUUCCAGGAAAAGCCUCUAAGCAUCAGGUAACAUCAAAUCGUACCCCAAACCGACACAGGUGGUCAGGUAGAGAAUACCAAGGCGCUUGAGAGAACUCGGGUGAAGGAACUAGGCAAAAUGGUGCCGUAACUUCGGGAGAAGGCACGCUGACACGUAGGUGAAGUGAUUUACUCAUGGAGCUGAAGUCAGUCGAAGAUACCAGCUGGCUGCAACUGUUUAUUAAAAACACAGCACUGUGCAAACACGAAAGUGGACGUAUACGGUGUGACGCCUGCCCGGUGCCGGAAGGUUAAUUGAUGGGGUCAGCGCAAGCGAAGCUCCUGAUCGAAGCCCCGGUAAACGGCGGCCGUAACUAUAACGGUCCUAAGGUAGCGAAAUUCCUUGUCGGGUAAGUUCCGACCUGCACGAAUGGCGUAAUGAUGGCCAGGCUGUCUCCACCCGAGACUCAGUGAAAUUGAACUCGCUGUGAAGAUGCAGUGUACCCGCGGCAAGACGGAAAGACCCCGUGAACCUUUACUAUAGCUUGACACUGAACAUUGAGCCUUGAUGUGUAGGAUAGGUGGGAGGCUUUGAAGUGUGGACGCCAGUCUGCAUGGAGCCGACCUUGAAAUACCACCCUUUAAUGUUUGAUGUUCUAACGUGGACCCGUGAUCCGGGUUGCGGACAGUGUCUGGUGGGUAGUUUGACUGGGGCGGUCUCCUCCUAAAGAGUAACGGAGGAGCACGAAGGUUGGCUAAUCCUGGUCGGACAUCAGGAGGUUAGUGCAAUGGCAUAAGCCAGCUUGACUGCGAGCGUGACGGCGCGAGCAGGUGCGAAAGCAGGUCAUAGUGAUCCGGUGGUUCUGAAUGGAAGGGCCAUCGCUCAACGGAUAAAAGGUACUCCGGGGAUAACAGGCUGAUACCGCCCAAGAGUUCAUAUCGACGGCGGUGUUUGGCACCUCGAUGUCGGCUCAUCACAUCCUGGGGCUGAAGUAGGUCCCAAGGGUAUGGCUGUUCGCCAUUUAAAGUGGUACGCGAGCUGGGUUUAGAACGUCGUGAGACAGUUCGGUCCCUAUCUGCCGUGGGCGCUGGAGAACUGAGGGGGGCUGCUCCUAGUACGAGAGGACCGGAGUGGACGCAUCACUGGUGUUCGGGUUGUCAUGCCAAUGGCACUGCCCGGUAGCUAAAUGCGGAAGAGAUAAGUGCUGAAAGCAUCUAAGCACGAAACUUGCCCCGAG